rnacentral:telomerase_RNA from 1 species
UGAUCGGAAAAAAUUUUUAGGAGGGUAGAUUGCCCGGUCUUCACCGUGCAGUCGCUAGACGCAACCCAGACGCAAUUCCGGAGAAAUGUUGCUAUUUGAGGGGUCAACAAGGGUAAAACCUUGUCGCUGUUCAAAUGUAACGUUUUGCUGUUUGCUUACCCGUUUGUUCAGCGUUAAAAAAAUCGAACGUGGUUUCUCUACCCUCUUAUUUUUAAUUAAAUUCAAACAUAAGUAGCUCGUAAGUUUUUUUU